rnacentral:misc_RNA from 1 species
GUAUUAAUUGCGUGUUAUCGCAAGAGACAUUCUACACUGUAUCGAGUUUUGUGUAAAGACGCGGGCCCUCCGGCAAAGGGGGACCCACGCGGUGAUGCACAAAGGGUGAGAUGGAUUGUGUGAGAGGGCUCGGGCGUGCACGACCGGGGAAGGUCAGCGACAGCCCUCGCGCCUCGGUUUAACGAUAAUGAUCCUUCCGCAGGUUCACCUACGGAAA